rnacentral:lncRNA from 1 species
CACGCGCACAGCAGCCUCAGCAACACUAAAAAUCUCGGGAGCAAUAGGUCGGCCUUUUCGUUGUUUUUGGCCAAUCACAGGUCGGGUUGUGGGCGGGGCCCGCCGCUUGGCGCUUUUUCUCCUCAGUGUUUCCCACGCCGUUUAAGGGAAGGACGCUUGUAAGUUUUGUCGUGUUUUUAAUACUGUAUUCUGUUGGGAGCCACCCACAGUGGGUGGGAAAUAAUAAUAAAUUAUUAUCAUCAUUGAUUUUUAUAUUAUUAUUAUUAUUAGAAAAGGCUUAGGGAAGUUUGUAAUUAUUAUGUUUUGUCGCGUUUUUAAUAUUCUGUUGGGAGCAGCCCACAGUGGCUGGGGAAGGAUAAUAAAUUAUGAUUAUCAUUAAUUUUUAAAUUGUUAUCAUUAUUAUUAUAAUUUUUAUUACAAAAGGGUUAGGGAAGUUUGUAGUAUAUUAUGUUGUGUCUUUUUAAAAAUAUUAUGUUGGUGGCUGGGAAAUAUAAUUAAAUGUUAAAUUAUUAUUAUUUUAAUAAAUCGCACCCACCCAAGUGGGACCUGGCCUCUUCCCCCCUAAGCCUUAACAGUAUAGUAUUUUUAUUUAUUCGAAUUGGGGCGGGGAAGCUCCCCUUCGUUACUGGCUGUGAGUUGGGAUCUCCAUUGCUUUCCCCCUCAUGGAGCUUGGAAGCAGCGCUGAGGGAAACGUUGCGAGGAGGAGAAUAAGGAGAAUGCUAAUAAUGAGGAUAACCAUUAAUAAUAAUAAAAAUAAUGAGAAACCAGAGGAAGGCCCAGGCCCCUCAGGCACUGUUGGGACUCCUCCCGGAGGGGAUUUCGGGGUGGGGCCUUCCUUCUCCGCAAGAGGCGCCCACCUCACGAGGAGACCAGCGCCACCCAACGGCCAGGCUAGGCCCCACUGCCCUCAACUAAAAUGGCGGCGGUGGCGCGUCUCUUGCUCUUUCCAGUCACGCCCCCCAGAACCCCCUCGUUCAGGGCACGCGCCCAGCAGCCGCAGCAGCAAUAAAAAUCGCGGCAGCAAUAGGUGGGUCUUUUGGCCAAUCACAGGUCGGGUUGUGGGCGGGGCCCGCCGCUUGGCGCUUUUUCUCCUCAGCGGUUCUUCCUCAAGUUUUGUCGUGUUGUUAAUACUGUAUUCUGUUGGGAGCCACCCAUAGUGGGUGGGGAAUGAUUAUCAUCGAUUUUUAAAUUAUUACUUUUGUUGUUAUUAUAAAAGGCUUAGGGAAGUGUGUAAUUAUGUUUUGUCGCGUUUUUAAUCUGUUGGGAGCAGUCCACAGUGGCUGGGGAAGGGUAAUAAAUUAUGAUUAUCAUUAAUUUUUAAAUUGUUAUCAUUAUUAUUAUUAUAAUUGUUCUUAUUAUAAAAGUGUUAGGGAAAUUUGUAGUGUAUUAUGCUUUAUCAUUUUUUUUAAUAUUCUGUUAGUGGCUGGGAAAUAGUAAUAAAUUAUUAUUAUCAUCAUUAAACGUUAAAUUAUUAUUUAAUAAAUCACACCCACCCAAGUGGGACCUGGCCUCUUCCCCCCUAAGCCUUAACAGUAUAGUAUUUUUAUUUAUUCGAAUUGGGGCGGGGAAGCUCCCCUUGGCUACAGCAACUCCAGAGUAACUGGCUGUGAGUUCAGAUCUCCAUUGAUUUCCCUCUCAGGCCGCCUUUAAUGUAUUGAAAACUGUAUCUGAAACAAUGUAUUGAAUUUUAUUAAAAAUGUAUUCAAUGUAUUGAAAACUGUAUCUGAACAAUGUAUUGUUCAGAUGAAGUACUGCUUUAAGCAGUGUUUUUGUAAGCAGACAAUUCCUCAAGAUCCCAAUUCCAUCACUUAUUAUUAAAUGCAAUCACCUUGUGGUUCAUUUGCGUAAGGGACUCCUGCAUAUUCCUGCCUUGCAGCGGGUUGGACUGAAAGACCCUUGGGGUCCCUUCCAGCUAUAUGCACCAUUAUAUGAUUCUUGGGGAAGUGCUUCAGAAAGAAGAAACGGGGAAAAGCACAUUUCUGCCAGUUAGUUGUAUGAUGGCUCAUAGGGAAAGGAGGCUCGUUUCCCACUUUAUUAUUUCUUCCACUGCAAUCUGCUUGGCAUAUUAUAUGUCUGCUUUUAUGUGGAUCCCCUCUUUCCCUUGUGAAAAUAAUCGAUCCUACUGAUAUUUCUUAGGUCUGUAUGGCCUCUGCUGAAUUCCUGCUCUGAAGAGGAGGAAGCUUCGCCUGACGAAGGGAGAAGAGGAGGUUGAGGAAAAGUCAGCUGCAGGCAUGAAGGUAAAAGGGGAAAAAAUAGAAAUACAAAUUAACAUAUAACACUUACGAACAUUUUUAAACAACCCCACUCCUGAUAUAUCACACCCACCCAAGUGGGGCUUGAUCUCAUUCUCCCUAACCAGCACAGUACAGUACAGUAAAAAUACAAUAAAGUAUUUUUAUUUAUUUGAUUGGGGUAGGGCAGCACCUCCUGGCUUCACCCAUGUUGGUGAGGUUUGUCUCCUUUUUCCUGUUCUUGUUAGGCUAUCUAAAGGUGACAAAGGAAUGUGUUGAAAACUUAAUUUCUUCAGAUGAACCAUUGCUUUAACCAGGUAAUUACUCAAGGCACCAAUUCUUUCACCUAUUGACUUAUCCACAUAAUCCAAGUGGAGAUUAAUUAGCAUCCAAAAGUGGUAUACUUGCACAUUACAUCUUAAGAUAAAUGUUUUGGAAGAGGCAUAAAUUAAAAAAGAUAAUUAAUUUGCAAGCAAAUACUUGAAUGCCCAGUGAAUUAGAUAGGCAGUGAGCUGGCUGAUUUGUCUAAUGUAGCAUCCAAAACCCAGUUUGGGUCUGUAAGACCCUGUUUGCCCCCUCCCCCCAGCCUUAAUGGCAACCCUCCAUUGCUUUCUGUUUGAUUUUUUUUAACAGAUACUCUGAAUUGAACACCACAAGAAUAAAUGGGGAUCAGCCCCUGCUGUAGUGGCCAGCACUAAAAGCCAUUUGAGUAAUUCAGAUCAAUAAAGUAGGAAUAAUUAAUAUUUACAAACCAGCAACUUCACACCAGUUUUGGACACUUGCAGCAGCUUGCAAUGUUAAGAGAGGUGCUCUAAAGAAAAGCACUUUCUACAUUUAUGAGCCUUCAGAGUAGGCUCAUGGUUUUUCCUUUGCCCGGAGGUAUAAAUGUUGUUAGCAUAUGUGCAAUCACCCCAAGAACUUCAGUUCUGCUCCUGACUGUCGAAAUGCUCCUGGAGAGGCUGUAAGCAGCACUUCCUCUGCUCUCAGUUAGCAAAAGGGGGUGGCAAGGUGUGCUUCAUGGUGUAACUUAACUUGCAGCUGCAGGAGAAGUGUGGAUCCCUCAACCAUGCACAAAUUCCUGCCUUGUAGCAGGUUGGACUGGAUGACCCUUGGGGUCCCUUCCCGAUAUAUACUCGCCCACCAUUAUAUGAUUCUUUGGAAAGUGCUUCAGAAACAAUAAAGAGAAAUAGCAUUCUUUUAAGUUAGUUGUAGUUGUCGGCAUGCAGAGGGUCACAAGGCCAGCUGGCUAGCCCCAGCUGCAUCAUUUUCCUCCAGCCGUCCCACUGCGAAGACCCAUCUGCCUCUGACAUAAAUCAGCGACCCAGGCUUCAAAGCCAGGGCACACUAUAUCAGCCAAGCGAACUGUGUACACAGACUAGGCGUGAGGCUUGUGGAAGCAUACUACAGCUAUGGAUUUAUUGAUCCUAAAUCAGGACAAAGAAACAUGUCAUCUCUCUCUUUGUCUGCUCAGAGAGACAUAGAGAAGCAAAAGCUAUACAGUUGUAUCUCGGGUUACAGACGCUUCAGGUUACAGACUCCGCUAACCCAGAAAUAGUACCUCGGGUUAAGAACUUUGCUACAUGAUGAGAACAGAAAUCGUGCUCCGGUGGUGCGGCGGCAUCAGGAGGCCCCAUUAGCUAAAGUGGUACUUCAGGUUAAGAACAGUUUCAGGUUAAGAACGGAUCACCAGAACGAAUUAAGUUCUUAACAUCUGAAGGCAGCGGUGGCAUCAGGAGGCCCCAUUAGCUAAAGUGGUACCUCAGGUUAAGAACAGUUUCAGGUUAAGAAUGGACCUCCAGAACAAAUUAAGUUCUUAACAUCUGAAGGCAGCCCUGUUUAGGGAAGCUUUUAAUGUUUAAUAGGUUAUUGUAUUUUAGUGUUUUGUUGGAAGCCGCCGAGAGUGGCUGCAAACAACUCCUUUAAGUUGAUUUUCCAAACAUCUGAUUUGCCCAUCAGCAUGGCAGCCAAAGAAAAGAAAAAAGUGGCAGAGGCAGCUCCCAGACAUCUCCAUGCAGUUGCAAAAGUUGUGUUGCCGGCAUGGGCUCUGCUUUAUUUCUUAAUGUUGAAUGGUACAUCUGCCCAAGUCCACUUCCAUCCACUGGAAAAGCUUCUUAGCAGCAAGGAGUAAAGGGAACGGUGGGCAAUACCUAGCUAUCUCUCUAAAUCGGUAAGACGGCACAGUCCCUACACCGCCACAAGGCCUGGUCCUUUCCAGAGGUGCAGCCUGCCUUCUCCAAAGGUGGAUUUCAGUUCAAACAGCUGGUUGAAAAGUCUCUCUUCCUCUCCUCACACCCGUAACCCUGGCAACCACCCAGAGAACAGUCUCUCUUCCUCGAUGGUCAGUGAGAUUGCAUUUUCCCAGUCUCUCCAAAAAUCGAAACUUUAGCAUUUAGUAAUGUCUAAAUACAGUUUGGGGUGGGGGGGUGUGUCAGCCCUUAAAAAUCAACUGUGCAAUGUGCCCCACAGCUGCCCCAAUGGCAGACAUCUAAGUGGGCUGAGCCCCUGCAACAGGGGUCAAAACCAAAAGCCAAUUGAAUCUUUUACAUUUACAAAUACUGGCACGUAUGUAUGUGUUUUGGAAAUUUGCAGCAGUUUGUAAUGUUAAGAGAGGUGUUCUAAAGAAAAACACUUUAUACACUCAUGAGCAUUCCCUUAGAGUAGGCUCAUGGUUUUUUUCCUUUUCUGGAGGUAUAAAUGUUCUUAGCAGAUGUACAAUCACCCCGAAGGUUUCACGCCUCCUCCUGACUGUUGAAAUGCUCUUGGGGAGACUGUAAGCAGCACCUCCUCCGCUCUCAGUCAGCAAAAGGGGAUGGCGAGGUGUGCUUAAUGGCGCAACUUGCAGCUGCAGUUUAAAUAUGGCCUAAAAGUGUCAUUUAAUAG